rnacentral:rRNA from 1 species
CCCUUAAAACCGAAUGGUCAAACUUUAAAACAUGGCUUCGAAUAUCAAUUUUGGAUGGUCCAAAGGCGAAUUAGCUAAAUGGAGGGGUAACGGCUCACCAUGGAAAUGAUACGUAGCCGACCUGAGAGGGUAAUCGGGCACAUUGGGACUGAGACACGGCCCAAACUCCUACGGGAGGCAGCAGUAGGGAAUCUUCCACAAUGGACGAAAGUCUGAUGGAGCAACGCCGCGUGAGUGAAGAAGGGUUUCGGCUCGUAAAACUCUGUUGUUAAAGAAGAACAUAUCUGAGAGUAACUGUUCAGGUAUUGACGGUAUUUAACCAGAAAGCCACGGCUAACUACGUGCCAGCAGCCGCGGUAAUACGUAGGUGGCAAGCGUUGUCCGGAUUUAUUGGGCGUAAAGCGAGCGCAGGCGGUUUUUUAAGUCUGAUGUGAAAGCCUUCGGCUCAACCGAAGAAGUGCAUCGGAAACUGGGAAUCUUGAGUGCAGAAGAGGACAGUGGAAUUUCCAUGUGUAGCGGUGAAAUGCGUAGAUAUAUGGAAGAACACCCAGUGGCGAAGGCGGCUGUCUGGUCUGUAUCUGACGCUGAGGCUUGAAAGUAUGGGUAGCAAACAGGAUUAGAUACCGUGGUAGUCCAUACCGUAAACGAUGAAUGUUAAGUGUUGGAGGGUUUCCGCCCUUCAGUGCUGCAGUUAACGCAUUAAGCAUUCCGCCUGGGGAGUACGGCCGCAAGGCUGAAACUCAAAGGAAUUGACGGGGGCCCGCACAAGCGGUGGAGCAUGUGGUUUAAUUCGAAGCUACGCGAAGAACCUUACCAGGUCUUGACAUACUAUGCAAAUCUAAGAGAUUAGACGUUCCCUUCGGGGACAUGGAUACAGGUGGUGCAUGGUUGUCGUCAGCUCGUGUCGUGAGAUGUUGGGUUAAGUCCCGCAACGAGCGCAACCCUUAUUAUCAGUUGCCAGCAUUAAGUUGGGCACUGUGGUGAGACUGCCGGUGACAAACCGGAGGAAGGUGGGGAUGACGUCAAAUCAUCAUGCCCCUUAUGACAUAAAAUAAAAAAGAAAAACAAAAAAAAAAAAAAGGAGUUGGGAAAUUGUGAAAGUGGAAUAGUAAAUUGGAACCAG